rnacentral:rRNA from 1 species
AGCGACGCCCGUGGGGGAUGACGGCCUUCGGGUUGUAAACUCCUUUCGCCAGGGACGAAGCGUUUUGUGACGGUACCUGGAGAAGAAGCACCGGCUAACUACGUGCCAGCAGCCGCGGUAAUACGUAGGGUGCAAGCGUUGUCCGGAAUUACUGGGCGUAAAGAGCUCGUAGGUGGUUUGUCACGUCGUCUGUGAAAUUCCACAGCUUAACUGUGGGCGUGCAGGCGAUACGGGCUGACUUGAGUACUGUAGGGGUAACUGGAAUUCCUGGUGUAGCGGUGAAAUGCGCAGAUAUCAGGAGGAACACCGAUGGCGAAGGCAGGUUACUGGGCAGUUACUGACGCUGAGGAGCGAAAGCAUGGGUAGCAAACAGGAUUAGAUACCCUGGUAGUCCAUGCCGUAAACGGUGGGCGCUAGGUGUAGGGGCCUUUUGGGGUUUCUGUGCCGUAGCUAACGCAUUAAGCGCCCCGCCUGGGGAGUACGGCCGCAAGGCUA